rnacentral:rRNA from 1 species
GCAGCAGCCGCGGUAAUACGUAGGUGGCAAGCGUUGUCCGGAGUUAUUGGGCGUAAAGGGCUCGCAGGCGGUUUCUUAAGUCUGAUGUGAAAGCCCCCGGCUCAACCGGGGAGGGUCAUUGGAAACUGGGAAACUUGAGUGCAGAAGAGGAGAGUGGAAUUCCACGUGUAGCGGUGAAAUGCGUAGAGAUGUGGAGGAACACCAGUGGCGAAGGCGACUCUCUGGUCUGUAACUGACGCUGAGGAGCGAAAGCGUGGGGAGCAAACAGGAUUAGAUACCCGUGUAGUCCCUGUCUCUUAUAC